CAAUAGCGUAUAUUAAAGUUGUUGCAGUUAAAAAGCUCGUAGUUGGAUUUCGGGGCAGCCUGGCUGGUCCGCCGCAAGGCGAGUACUGGUCAGCCGCCCUUCCUCUCGAAAGCCCCGACUGCUCUUCGUUGCAGUGGUCGGGUAGUUCGGGACGUUUACUUUGAAAAAAUUAGAGUGUUCAAGGCAGGCCUACGCCUGAAUACAUUAGCAUGGAAUAAUGGAAGAGGACCUCGGUCCUAUUUUGUUGGUUUCCAGGGCCGAAGUAAUGAUUAAGAGGGACAGUUGGGGGCAUUCGUAUUUAAUUGUCAGAGGUGAAAUUCUCGGAUUUAUGAAAGACGAACAACUGCGAAAGCAUUUGCCAAGGAUGUUUUCAUUAAG
rnacentral:rRNA from 1 species